rnacentral:rRNA from 1 species
CCUACGGGUGGCAGCAGUGGGGAAUAUUGGGCAAUGGAGGCAACUCUGACCCAGCAACGCCGCGUGAACGAUGAAGGUCUUCGGAUUGUAAAGUUCUUUAAGUGGGGACGAAGAAAGUGACUGUACCCACAGAAUAAGCCUCGGCUAACUACGUGCCAGCAGCCGCGGUAAUACGUAGGAGGCAAGCGUUAUCCGGAAUGACUGGGCGUAAAGGGUGCGUAGGUGGUUUGGCAAGUUGGUAGCGUAAUCCCGGGGCUCAACCUCGGUGCUACUACCAAAACUGCUGGGCUUGAGUGCAGGAGGGGUGAAUGGAAUUCCCAGUGUAGCGGUGGAAUGCGUAGAUAUUGGGAAGAACACCAGCGGCGAAGGCGAUUCACUGGACUGUAACUGACACGGAGGCACGAAAGCGUGGGGAGCAAACAGGAUUAGAUACCCCAGUAGUC